GCUUCACACAUGCUAGGCAAGUGUUCUGCCACUGAGUUGCACCAUAGUCCUAGGCAGCAUGUUUUUUGGUAUGUUUGUUUUUUGGUGCUGGGGAUUGAACCCAGGGGCGCUCUACCACUGAGCCACAUCCACAGUCAUUUUUAUUUUUAUUUUUUUAUUUUGGGACAUGGUCUAAGUUGCUGAGGGUUUUGUUAAGUUUCUGAGGUUGGCCUUGAAUUUGCAAUCCUUCUAUCUAGGCUGCAUGUUCUUACGUGGGCUGGGCAGGUUUCUGGGCUUGACUGUGACUAGGAUGGAGUGGUCCUCAGAUUUGGCACAGAUCCCCAGGGGACAGAAUUUAGAGGAGCCCACAACAGGUUUGAGCAUGUUGGAUAAGGUGGGUCUGUGGGUCUCCGUCUCUUGGGAGUUUGAUCUAUCUGAGACCCUAACAUUUUCCCAGUCUGGGGAAAUGGUCAGUUCACCAGGGUAAUGCUACAAGGGAAAUCCCUUGGUUAACCUGAAACCUGGCCUACACCACUGAUUGGCUCUUCUCAGCCCAGGUUCCCAUAGAGAAAGUCUCUCUCACUGCCUGUCACCACCCCACUUAGUGACAUGACAUGAAAUACCUCCCAGAGUCAUCCUGGCUUCUGAACCCUGACUCCUUCUGGUUUCUGGUUUCUGCCCACCUAGGGACUGUUACCUCAUGUUCUCAUCCUGUUUGGUCCAGAACCCUUCUCAGGCAUGUUCUUAAAGGGAAAUUCUGGAUGACGUCACACGCAUAUCAGGACGAGGUCACACUGGCCCACCUGACUUGCUAUGGCUGGGGCUUGUCCCAGUCCAUUGCAGAGGGGUUUCCAGGCCUCACCCCAGCCUGCCCCUUGCUUCCAUCCUUCUGUCUAAGGUCAGAGCUCUAUCUCCAGUUUCUCCCACUCACAACAAAAGAAUGAUCUCCUUCUCAGACCUUAUGUCUAUCUCUCUCAGCUCCAGGUCAAACCUGCCCUGUGCACACCCCAGCUACCUGGGAUCUCCCAGGGAGUUAGCUCUGGGAACAUUUUCUUUCCAAGAGGCCAGCACUCAGGAAAUCCCUUCUCCUGUUCCCUGUUCCCUGACAGUUUCCGACCCAUAUUUUCCCCCAUUUGCAUUUCUUCAGCCUCCCCUGGGAUCCAAGGCAUCCAAAAAUCUCUUUCUUGCCCCUCCUGAGGAUCAGACUCAACACCACACUGUGUAUCUUUGAAAUCCCAGGAUGCUUUAGGAUGAAUGACAGGACUGGGCAUACAGGUGUGUAAAUAUAUAUGUGCAUGUGUGCGCACAUGAGUGGACUCACAUGAUUUGUCCCUAAAGAGAGAACAAUCUUUCCCUCUUACAAAGGUCCUCAAAGAUCUCCUGUUUCCCUUGGCCAGAGUUAGCCAGGUUAGGUGAGUGCAGGUUCCAAGAGGACAGCUGAACGCCUUCUGUGUCAUGUCACAGAGCAGGGCAUGGCUUCCAGGAGCUCUGAGCCCUGCAGCAGGCUCUGCUGCUCCAUGCUGCUUGAGUAUCUGAAAAGGGAGAUUGAGCUCUGAGUAUCCUUACUGGACGUGGGGGUGGAAGGCAGCUUAAUCCUGCGGACAGGUCUGAACUCAAUGGAAUGAUGUUUGAAAACAAUCACUGGGUGAUUGACUUACUUUUCCAGAGUGUUCCUUUGGUCUGACAGUUCAGGAUUCAUGCUGAUUUAUGGAGCACAGUAUUCCAGCAGCUCUGGGAAGGCUUCUGGUUUCUUCUGGGCUUGAGCUCAUGGGGAGAGGUGGAAACAAGGAACUGCACUGGAAUGCUGGGAGUCAGGGGGCUGAGGAAGAGAGAGGCCCGAGGUGGGACCCCAGCAGAAGCCCAGUCAUGCUUCUACCUGCCUUGGACCUUUGGCAAAGGUAGGUGGGAUAGGAGCCCCAAUUUCUGUUGCAAAGCAGGGCUGUGUUUGUUGGAGCCACAGAGAGACAGUGUGUUCUGGGUACUCAGUCUCUCUCAUUUAACC
rnacentral:lncRNA from 1 species